CCCCUCUUACUCCCAGAGGCCCAGCCCAGGGACCUUCAAAGGGAAGCAUGCCAGAGGGAGGGGCCAGCAGCCUGGGCAGGGCUGGGCAGGGCUUGCAUAGUUUGGCUCUUCCCAAAAGGGCUCAGCACUUCACUUGAGUCAGGACCCUCUGCAGAAGCAGGGAGCUCUGAGUCUGCACCUGGCAGGGAACUCUCAGCUGUGGCAUCUGUGAGGAAGGAAGGAGGGAGCUCUCUGUCCCGGGGACAAUGGCCAGAUUCUGCUUCCUGCUGUUCGUCUCUGUGGCCACCAGAGGGUGGAGUGCAGGUAAGUGACUCAGGCGCAGCAGUUUCUUCAGCUCACCUAUCCUGUGCAGGAGAGUUGGGGGUAGAGUUGGGCUGGAUGCUGACAUCCUGGGCCCGAAGGAGAGUCGUGGAGAUGCACAGAAGCCACACGUGGCAGCUGACUUGAGAUGUGGCCUGGGUGCUGAUUGCUGGCCUCUCCAGGCGUCUGAUCUGAAGUAGUCACAGUGUUAGCUAAGUCAUGUCCUGGGGCCCCACUCUGUGCCUGUGUGUGGCUGUGAGGGGGCUCAGGAAGGGGAUGGUAGGGACUGUGUCCCCUCCCGGCUACUCCUGCCCCUGUGGCCUUGGCCUCUGCCUCUCCAAAGGGAGCUAGGUGGUCAUGCUGUGUCCCGGAACAUCCCCCUCUAGUCCCCAUCCUCCCAAUUCCAUUCCUCACAACAGGCGUAACGAUAGUUUUCAGUUUUGGUUAGUUGAGAAGAAGAAUUCAGUGUUAAGCCUGUACGAGAUCAUGGUCAGAUAGUCUUAGCAGACGGAAUCCUGGGUGCUCACAGUAUAGUGACGAACUGGCGAAGUGGGCAGGGGCUGGGAGCUGAUGCCAGGAAGGAUGGUAUCAGGCAACAGACUGUAAAUGAGAAUUAUUCUCACAUCCUCCAGCAGUGGUCCAGGCUCCUGAGAUGUUCCAGGUGGGCAAAACCUGUGCCUCCUCCCUUUCUUUCCUGCCUAGAAGCUGCAAGGAACUCAAAGAAAGUUGCAAUAGAGCAGGUGGUGAGUAAUAAACCAACCCAGCCUUCUCUCCUUGAAGACA
rnacentral:lncRNA from 1 species